rnacentral:rRNA from 2 species
UACGGAGGGUGCAAGCGUUAUCCGGAUUCACUGGGUUUAAAGGGUGCGUAGGUGGGCAGGUAAGUCAGUGGUGAAAUCUUUGGGCUUAACCCGAAAACUGCCAUUGAUACUAUCUGUCUUGAAUGUUGUGGAGGUGAGCGGAAUAUGUCAUGUAGCGGUGAAAUGCUUAGAUAUGACAUAGAACAUCGAUUGCGAAGGCAGCUCGCUACGCAAAUAUUGACACUGAGGCACGAAAGCGUGGGGAUCAAACAGG